CCCGAGAGACUCGUGGGAGUCACGGCGGCUCCCGCGCAGCUGCGCUGUGGCAGCCGUCCUGGACACGGCGAGAGCUUCGGGCCCCCAGACAAAGGACGAAGGUUGCCUGGAGCGGCGUCGCAGAGAUGGUUUCUGUGUUCAGGGGCCCGCGCUGACAGAGUCGUGCUCUGAGCUACGAUUUCCCGCAGGACCUUCAUGCGGGCCGCACCCUAGGACCAUGGUUAUUCAAACCCGAGUUCCCUGAGUGCAUCCGGGUGCUGUUGGCAUCCUCUUGGUCUUUGUCCUUGACCUGUCAACGAUGACACCUUCCAUUACUGUGCCGUAGCUGUUUAACCGUCGGCCGGGUGUUGUGUGAACCACCUUCUCCGUGCUGGGCUUCUGAUUCAAGGCUGGUUCCUGACUCCUGAUGGGCCUGUAGGUUCUGGGUGAGAAUCAAAGAACAGCCCAACCCCAACUUCAUGUUGGGGGAGCCUUGGAUGCCCAUUGGGAAGUUUUGCUUGGGAGCCUGAAAUUCACCACGAUGCCCAGGUCGAUAAUGCUUUAAUAGAAGCUUUCAAGAGACGUUACUUCUUGCAUCCUUUGAGGGUCUUACGUAUCUCUUUCAUCAUUUGAUCCUUCUGAGAAAUUAGCCGUGGGGAGGAGGGUAGAGCUCAGUGGAAGACUGCGUACUUAGUAUGCACAAGGUUCCAUGUUCAAUCCCCGGUACCUCCACCAAAAACAAACAAAUUCAUAAUUAAAAGCCUAAUUACUCUCCCUCAAAAAAAAAAAAAGCAAUUAGCUGUACUAAAUAAACUAUCUAUGUCUACU